GUGCUCACUUCAGCAGCACACAUACUAAAUUUGGAAUGAUACAGAGAUUAGCAUGACCCCUGUGCAAGGAUGACACAGAAAUUUGUGAAGCAUUUUAUAUUUUU